UUCAGUUCACUGCAGAUGAACACCUCUCUAAAGGAUAGCAUUUGCUUCACCAAUAAAAAUUUAUUUUGAUUUUUCUUUUUGAUACAAUUUUUUGGGGGAAAAACGUAAUUUAGCCAUGAAUGCAUUUCUGUCCUGGAAAGAACUGCUAUUGAAUCAAAGCGGAUGCUAUUCAUACAGCUGUAGUGUGAAAUUUGCCUAUGUAAAAUCGUUAUAGGACAACAUAGUCAAAUGAGUAUUCAUGAGACUUUCUCUUUCAGUAGACCUCCCUGAGAACAAAAUGCUGUUCAUAUAAAUGUUUACGGGAAGUUAAUACCACAAAAGCAAAAAUAUAGGUUCUUUUCUCCACGCUAAUUUUAUUUGGAGAUUCUGCUACCUUUAUUACUGUGUGGUAGGGUAAACAGCUUGAGUAAUCUUGAAGAAAUUAAUGUGUCCACUCAACAGGCAUAGGAAAUGAACUGCAUCAGACAGAGGAAUAUUUACCUUUCUGCUUGACAUUCAAACUUACCUGCAGCGCAGCUCCAUGUAAUAACUAAGCAGGCUGAUCAGGACAAACAGUUAAGGCAUGAGAUACUUCAGUAUUUCUUCUCCGAGGUUCACAGAAAUGCAGCGCAGAAUUACUCAGCCUCAGAAAAUAUCACAUUACACAGGUUUUGAAAGUGCGUGAUUCUGCUGAAGAGAUGCUUUACAACAUCAACAACAGCCACAUCACGGUAGUCCGACUGCCCAGCCAAUUCCAGUUUUCUUCACAAACAGCUCCACUGAUUCAGUUUACAUUACUGGGAUGAAGACAUUUGUUCUUUAAUUACAUUUUUAUGCAAUAUAUUUUUUCCUUUGAACAAUAUAUGGCUUAAAGUGGUCAAUAGUUAUGGAAUUUCUGUAUAAAUAAGAGUAAAAUUGCUCAUGUUUGUAGUCGCUGGUUAGAUGAAAGGAUUUUACAAGAGGAACAUGCCAAUGUUUUACAGCUUACAUCAUCACUUUAGAAGAAGGUUUCUGGUUGCUUGGGUGCUUAUGUUUUCAAAAGUUUAGAUUUCUUUAGAAUUUAAUCUUGACUCUGAAUACUGUGUGUUUCCAUUAGUUGGUUGGUUUGCUUUUUAGAACUAUAUUGCUUUGGUAUUUAUGACAAUAUUAAAACAAUACUGGAAAUAGAUAUUAUGGUUUGUAUUCAGCAAGGAGAGACACAGAAAUUACCUACUCUGCUUGAUUAAAUUCAG
rnacentral:lncRNA from 1 species